UGUGGAUCAGAGAAGCAGCAGUGCAGCUGCAGUGUGUGGUGGAAUGAGCCUGUCGUCUACAGCUCCUUCAUCCUGAACGUCCUCCUCUUUCUCGUGCUAACAGGUGUGGUUUUUACCUCUGUGUGUUUGAAGAAGAAGAAGACGUGUAACUACCAGGUGACUGACUCACCACAGUCAACCAAUCAGAGCGCAGAGACGCUGGAGACGCCACAGUACGAGGAGAUCCAGCUCAGAGCGCCCCCAGCUGCUGUGUCUUCAGAGUGUAUCUACUACAAAGCCCAGCUGCCUCAGUCCACACUGCCCCAGUACUGACACCUGGACCGCACCUCGACUUUUCUGUCAGGGACACCUGUCAAGUCGCCCCGAUGAGCUGUGAUCUUUGUUGGGCCACCUUAAAUCUGCUCAGGGACAGGGACAGGUUUAAGGUGGUCCAAGACUAAAGGUGACGUCAUCAUGUUGUUUUAAUUCAUUAAAAAUUAGCUUUAUGUUUGUUUCUCUGAAUAUAAGAACUGUGUCUCACCUGUCUCUGUCACUAA